GGUGUGUUGGCUCAGUCAGUAGAGCGUCCGCCUCACAACUGGAUAGGACGUGGGUUCGAACCCCGGCCGCGUCA
rfam:Strongylocentrotus purpuratus Contig131932_fixed, whole genome shotgun sequence.